UCUUUAAUAGCUCAGUUGGUAGAGCAAGUGGCUGUUAACCACGGGGUCGUUGGUUCAAAUCCGACUUGAAGAG
rnacentral:tRNA from 1 species